CUGAGAGCCGCUUGGCCUGGGCCCUGCACCUCGUCCCACUCUGCAUGAACUGCCUUUGCGGGUGGCCAGGCCUGGCUAUGACCGCACGGGAGAGCAGGGCGGACCCCGCGAACGGGGACAGCACCUGACGGCGACAUCCACAAACGCCGCCCCGCAGGAGCACGCACUCCCACACAAAGCGCCUGCAGCUGACAGCCGCCGGGAGGGGACAUCUGGACAGCCUCACGCAGCUUUCAGACCUGCAGUCCAUGUUAAAAGGAUCUUGUUUCCAAUUUGCCUUAAUUAAACAAACAUUCCAAACC
ensembl:lncRNA novel transcript